GUAAAGCGCAUGCAGGUGGUUUGUUAAGUCAGAUGUGAAAGACCCCGGGGCGUCAACCUCGGAAUUGCAUUUGAAACUGGCAAACUAGAGUACUGUAGAGGGGGUAGAAUUUCAGGUGUAGCGGUAGAAAUGCGUAGAGAUCUGAAGGAAUACCGGUGGCGAAGGCGGCCCCCCUGGACAGAUACUGACACUCAGAUGCGAAAGCGUGGGGAGCAAACAGGAUUAGAUACCCUGGUAG
rnacentral:rRNA from 1 species